CUACUCAAUCUAUCCAUACUCACGUGCCUCACAUGUCUUCAUCUCUCUCUCUCUCUCUCUCUCUCUCUCUUGCAUAAACAAGAGCAAACACUACAUAUUUACAAGCAUUUGUUAAAAUUUCAGGUUAAUUUUAGCGAUUUUUAAUGCUUUUUUUGUUUUAUUGGUCGAUUUGAAAGUUUUUUUUUCUUCCUGAUGAAUUGCAGGUUGUUUCUACCAGCGGAUGUCGCCUCUAUCGUCGCUCAUCAGCAUCACAACCCACCUCUGCUGCUGCCACUAACCCAUCCAUCAAUCCCUAACUUGUCACUCUUAACAGCCACCAUCUUUGAGGUCUUCCUCAAUCCAAGAUUUGUAUGUAAUCAAGUAUGCUUUUUCAUUCAGACUUGCUUUUCAAACACACACGUUCAUAUAAAUGGUAGUUUUGGGUUAAUUAUUUCAGAUCUGACCAUGGUUUCUCUUUGUCUCUCACAUACACUCUAUGGAUAGAUAUGGAAUCAGAUCUCCUCUCUCUCUCUCUCUCUCUCUCUCUCUAUUGUAGAAACGAGAAGUAACCAUUAAACAUGUACUUUUUGUUUAAUAAUUUGUGUUUAUUAUGGUUCUUGAUUUUGGUUUAUUUUAUGUCAUCCAGGUUCAAACAAAAUUAACAACUCACAAUAGGUAUAUUUCGAGUUCUAUAUCUUUGUAAUUAUAUUUUUUAAAUAGAACAAAUAGUAAAUAUUGUGUAAAAAGACAAGCAUAUGUAGUUGAAAUGUAUCUAAAUAGGACAAAAAAGCUUGUGGAUAUUGAAAUGUAUUAAGCUUUUCUAUAAUUUCAUAAGAUUCCAUAAUUUUUGUAUAUUUUUUUAAACUUUCGAUAUCUGAUAUCUAAACCAAAACUCUGGAUUUUAUUGUCAUAUGGCUUGAUGAUUUAUUUCUAUUUUGCAGGACUAUAAAUUUUUGUCAUAUUUAGCAAUCUAAUAUAUGUAAUUAUUGAAGAAAGUCAUCUUUUUUUGGAAUUGACAUUUUUGCCCUUGAGAGAUUUUGAUCAACAUUCAUUUUGAACUCUUGAAGUAUUUGAUGUAAUAGUGGAUAUAAGAGCAUUGUUGCAGCUGAAACAUAAAUCAUAUUCUUAGUGAUGGAUGAACUCUUGAAUUCCAUUAACAUGUUGGUGCAAGGUCAAUUACAGUGACUUUUAUAUUGUGGAAAAUCUACAUAUCAACUUUUGACUAGAAUUGGAAAGAUCCUUGGGUGUUGUAUAUGCC
rnacentral:lncRNA from 1 species